GAUGAACGCUGGCGGCGUGCCUAAUACAUGCAAGUCGAACGCACAGCGAAAGGUGCUUGCACCUUUCAAGUGAGUGGCGAACGGGUGAGUAACACGUGGACAACCUGCCUCAAGGCUGGGGAUAACAUUUGGAAACAGAUGCUAAUACCGAAUAAAACUUAGUGUCGCAUGACACAAAGUUAAAAGGCGCUUCGGCGUCACCUAGAGAUGGAUCCGCGGUGCAUUAGUUAGUUGGUGGGGUAAAGGCCUACCAAGACAAUGAUGCAUAGCCGAGUUGAGAGACUGAUCGGCCACAUUGGGACUGAGACACGGCCCAAACUCCUACGGGAGGCUGCAGUAGGGAAUCUUCCACAAUGGGCGAAAGCCUGAUGGAGCAACGCCGCGUGUGUGAUGAAGGCUUUCGGGUCGUAAAGCACUGUUGUAUGGGAAGAACAGCUAGAAUAGGAAAUGAUUUUAGUUUGACGGUACCAUACCAGAAAGGGACGGCUAAAUACGUGCCAGCAGCCGCGGUAAUACGUAUGUCCCGAGCGUUAUCCGGAUUUAUUGGGCGUAAAGCGAGCGCAGACGGUUUAUUAAGUCUGAUGUGAAAGCCCGGAGCUCAACUCCGGAAUGGCAUUGGAAACUGGUUAACUUGAGUGCAGUAGAGGUAAGUGGAACUCCAUGU
rnacentral:rRNA from 1 species